rnacentral:rRNA from 1 species
GACGAACGCUGGCGGCGUGCUUAACACAUGCAAGUCGAACGGAAAGGCCCUGCUUUUGUGGGGUGCUCGAGUGGCGAACGGGUGAGUAACACGUGAGUAACCUGCCCUUGACUUUGGGAUAACUUCAGGAAACUGGGGCUAAUACCGGAUAGGAGCUCCUGCUGCAUGGUGGGGGUUGGAAAGUUUCGGCGGUUGGGGAUGGACUCGCGGCUUAUCAGCUUGUUGGUGGGGUAGUGGCUUACCAAGGCUUUGACGGGUAGCCGGCCUGAGAGGGUGACCGGCCACAUUGGGACUGAGAUACGGACCAGACUCGUACGGGAGGCAGCAGUGGGGAAUAUUGCACAAUGGGCGGAAGCCUGAUGCAGCAACGCCGCGUGCGGGAUGACGGCCUUCGGGUUGUAAAACGCUUUCGCCUGUGACGAAGCGUGAGUGACGGUAAUGGGUAAAGAAGCACCGGCUAACUACGUG